AGCAGAAGAAGCAGAAGCACCUUGACGAGCUCCAUGACCAGGAACAGCUGACUGGGAGUUUCAUCCACCUCGAUUAACUGGAUGAUGCUCGGAUGUCGGACCCUCCGCAGCACCGCCACCUCGUUUUCUAUCAGUCGGUGUUUUGGUGCUGUGUGUGAGCACGAAGUCGUCCUGAGCGUAGCGAAACUUCUCCGGCCCGCACGCCAUGAACACAUCGUCAUCCCCGAAGAAGUCCUGCAGACAGCGCUUCAAUGGACACAGAAACAAGCACACACUGUGCUGUCUAAGAACUGUCUUGAGGAUUAACUACAAAUCAUUCAUCAAAAUGUCCCAGAUUUAAACGGACAGACAGACAGACAGACAGACGGACAGAUGGAGAGGAGACAGGAGGCGACAGGAUUUGUCUUUCACCUGAGCACAGCCUGGCAGGAUUAUUCACUUUGUUUUAUUUGGGCUCCCACAUUUAUAAAAGCUUCACGAAGUCCCCAUUUUCAAUGAAAAGACACAUGUACGUCGCUGAGACAGGAUGUUUUUACACAAAAGCAGUCAGAAAAAUAGCAGGCCUGAAUAACUAAGAAUCUGUCAGAGACGGAGUUUCACAUAGUUUAUAAAGUUUCUUCUAACGCAGUGACUCACAAAAUCGAGUGAUUUUCAAAGGGAGUCUGGUGACUUUCUCCACCGGUAGCGGAGAAGUAUCCUGUAUUGGUUGUGUGUUACUUUAGAGUGUACUGUUCCUUUAUUAAGUCAACUUUAAAGAUAGAUUUCAUCACUUUUAGAUACAUUUUUAGCCUUCGCUAAGCUAACUGUGCUGCAGCUUCACUGUCAGAGGACACAAUAACUUCACACCUUCUUCUUCUUCUUCUUCUUCUUCUUCUUCUUCUUCUUCUUCUUCUUCUCUCCUUUUGUCGUCCAUGUUACCUCUCACUUCCUCCUCCGUCACCAACGUUUACUUUUUUACUCAACGCCUCCAGAACUGUACCGUGUGUGUGUGUGGCAAGGAGGAAGGGGUUGUGACUGGAUGACCGGUUACCAUGGCGACCACACUGCAGAGUGUGUGUGUGUGUGUGUGUGUGUGUGUGUGUGUGUGUGUGUGUGUGUGUGUGUGUGAUGGGGUUUCUGUCCCGCUGCUUGAGGUGGCUGCACAAACUGAAAG